CAGUAGCCGCGGUAAUACGAAGGGGGCUAGCGUUGUUCGAAAUUACUGGGCGUAAAGCGCACGUAGGCGGAUAUUUAAGUCAGGGGUGAAACCCCGCAGCUCAACUGCGGGACUGCCUUUGAUACUGGGUAUCUUGAGUAUGGAAGAGGUGAGUGGAAUUCCGAGUGUAGAGGUGAAAUUCGUAGAUAUUCGGAGGAACACCAGUGGCGAAGGCGGCUCACUGGUCCAUUACUGACGCUGAGGUGCGAAAGCGUGGGGAGCAAACAGGAUUAGAUACCCCAGUAGUCCCUGUCUCUUAUAC
rnacentral:rRNA from 1 species